rnacentral:rRNA from 1 species
ACGAAGGGUGCAAGCGUUAAUCGGAAUUACUGGGCGUAAAGGGUGCGUAGGCGGUUAGUUAAGUCUGUCGUGAAAUCCCCGGGCUCAACCUGGGAAUGGCGAUGGAUACUGGCUAGCUAGAGUGUGUCAGAGGAUGGUGGAAUUUCCGGUGUAGCGGUGAAAUGCGUAGAGAUCGGAAGGAACAUCAGUGGCGAAGGCGGCCAUCUGGGACAACACUGACGCUGAAGCACGAAAGCGUGGGGAGCAAACAGGAUUAGAUACCCUGGUAGUCCACGCCCUAAACGAUGCGAACUGGAUGUUGGUCUCAACUCGGAGAUCAGUGUCGAAGCUAACGCGUUAAGUUCGCCGCCUGGGGAGUACGGUCGCAAGACUG